rnacentral:rRNA from 1 species
UACGUAGGAGGCAAGCGUUGUCCGGAAUUACUGGGCGUAAAGCGCGUGUAGGCGGUUGUUCAAGUCAGGUGUGAAAGCCUUGAGCUCAACUCAAGAAAUGCACUUGAUACUGGAUGACUAGAGGACCGGAGAGGAUAGUGGAAUUCCCAGUGUAGUGGUGAAAUACGUAGAGAUUGGGAAGAACACCAGUGGCGAAGGCGGGUCUCUGGGCAGUAACUGACGCUGAGGAGCGAAAGCGUGGGGAGCGAACAGG